CGACCAGUCCUCAGCCGGCAACAUGAAGCUGGGUGGCCUCUGCCUCCUGCUCCUCCUCGCCGUCCUUCUCACCCUCAAUGCAGAGCUCCAGGCAGUUGAUGUAGGUAUCUGUGUGACGGAGUGCAAGGUAGACCAGGACUGUGGGGCAGGAAGACGAUGCACCAGCAAUGGAUGUGGCCGGGUCUGCUCCCCAAUCCAGCAAAGAGGCCUGCGAGCACCAGUGCAGAGAAGACAGGGACUGUGGGAGUGGACAUCAGUGCGUGAGGAAGGGCUGUGGGCACGUCUGCGCCCCCGUCCAUCAAGUCGGUAUCUGUGUGACGGAGUGCCGUGUAGACCAGGACUGUGGGGAAGGAAGACUAUGCAUCAGUAAUGGGUGUGGCCGUGUCUGCUUCCCAGUCCGGCGAAGAGAGGCCUGCGAGCACCAGUGCAGAGAAGACAGGGACUGUGGGAGUGGACAUCAGUGCGUGAGGAAGGGCUGUGGGCACGUCUGCGCCCCCGUCCAUCAAGUCGAUGUAGGUAUCUGUGUGACGGAGUGCCGUGUAGACCAGGACUGUGGGGAAGGAAGACUAUGCAUCAGUAAUGGGUGUGGCCGUGUCUGCUUCCCAGGGCGAAAAGAGGGCUGCGAGCACCAGUGCAGAGAAGACAGGGACUGUGGGAGUGGACAUCAGUGCGUGAGGAAGGGCUGUGGGCACGUCUGCGCCCCCGUCCAUCAAGUCGUAGGUAUCUGUGUGACGGAGUGCAACGUAGACCAGGACUGUGGGGAAGGAAGACAAUGCACCAGCAAUGGGUGUGGCCGUGUCUGCUCCCCAGUCCAGCAAGAAGAGGCCUGCGAGCACCAGUGCAGAGAAGACAGGGACUGUGGGAGUGGACAUCAGUGCGUGAGGAAGGGCUGUGGGCACGUCUGUGCCCCCGUCCAUCAAGUCGAUGUAGGUAUCUGUGUGACGGAGUGCAAGGUAGACCAGGACUGUGGGGCAGGAAGACGAUGCACCAGCAAUGGAUGUGGCCGUGUCUGCUCCCCAGCCCAGCAAAGAGAGGCCUGCGAGCACCAAUGCAGAGAAGACAAGGACUGUGGGAGUGGACAUCAGUGCGUGAGGAAGGGCUGUGGGCACGUCUGCUCCCCCAUCCCUCAAGUAGGUAUCUGUGUGACGGAGUGCAAUGUAGACCAGGACUGUGGGGCAGGAAGACGAUGCACCAGCAAUGGAUGUGGCCGUGUCUGCUCCCCACCCCAGGGAGGAGGACUCUGUGUGGACCGCUGCCGAGGAAACUGGGACUGUGGGGCCGGAGAAGAAUGUAUCAGGAAGGGAUGUGGACGGGUCUGCUCUCCAGCCCAGGAGCCAGUGGUAGGUAUCUGUGUGGAUCAGUGCCAAAGACACUGGGAAUGUGGUCCACGGAUGCGGUGUGUCUCCACUGGAUGUGGCCACAUCUGCUCACCAGCCCAAGACCAAGUUGAACAGAGACCCGGAAAAUGUCCAGUGUUGCCAAAAGGAACGAUUGGACUUUGUGCUGAAUUUUGCUUCGGGGAUGACUCCUGUCCCAGCGGACAGAAGUGCUGCAGCAAUGGUUGUGGACACUCUUGCCAGACUGCUGUUCCAGACGAGAAAACCUUCCCUAGCCGUUUGGAUGACUGAUGAACCUUGGCCUCCUUCCAUAAUUGUUCCCACAUGUCACCUUUAUUUGAAGAGCUGGGCUUUUCCAGGAACUCCACCUUUGCCAGGAACCCCAGGAUCAUGGGGUGAGGUUCUAGAAUAACUUGGCUUAAGGGUUGAAUUCUGGCAAUUGUUCAAGGAAUAGUGCUUGCAAAGGAUCCUUCUUCUGAAUAAAACGACUUCUCUGGCAU
rnacentral:lncRNA from 1 species